UUUCUGUCUGGCCACACAACAACCCCUGGAGAAAGCUGACACCUUAAGGCUGAUUCAGUACCUAAGGGCAGACAACUCUGAGUGCAGAUGGCACCCUGGACCCCGUGAGUCUGUGUCUGUUAAUGGCCCUCCUGUACUGUUUUGAUGUCAGUCUGUUUGAACAUGAAGAUGGAAGAGAUCAAGGUCCUGCAGCGUCUACCAAUGAUGAUGGACUCGACCUACAUACCUGACAUACACCAGGAUCUCAUGUCUACGCGAGUCUGGACCAACUCAGGUCUUAGUUCAAAAAUCAACUGAAGGAGUGAAUGGAAUUUGUGAAGAGGAUGAGGUGGUUAUUAACGAGGCCCUGGAAGCUAACGUGUUCCACUUCCUGCGACUGGCUGUUGUAGCCGUACAUGAUUUCCAUAAAGAGGAAUAUUAUCUAAAGAAAGUCCAAAGGCUGGUUACAGACUUUAUUUUUCACAUGCCACUGAAGGUGAAAGAGCUACUUACAAGAGAUGCGGCGAGAAUCGUGGCAUCCAAGAGUUCCCUAGAACCUCCCACGUAACCCAGUCAUGGCUUCCAGUAUUUACUGAGACAGAUUGGAGAUUUAUACAGAAGUGACCCCCUGGGACUGAAACUGUCUGUAGAGUACUGGUGUCCCCAGGAUGAGUACGGACCUCAUGAAACAAUGUACAAUGUUAGACGUGCACAAAGACAGGAAGAUAAAAAUUAAAAUCUGCAAAGCAAAAAUAAUCUUCUAUUAAGUUUUAGAAAAGAGAAGGAUUUUAGCCUUACAUAAGUAGGGAAUGUACAUAGACUGUAUGUUUUAUAUUACAGA